rnacentral:rRNA from 1 species
GAGUUUGAUCCUGGCUCAGGAUAAACGCUGGCGGCGCACAUAAGACAUGCAAGUCGAACGGACUUAACCAUUAGUUUACUAUUGGAGCGGUUAGUGGCGGACUGGUGGGUAACACGUAAGCAACCUGCCUAUCAGAGGGGAACAACAGUUAGAAAUGACUGCUAAUACCGCAUAUGCCUUGAGUAUCACAUGGUACAAAAGGGAAAGGAGCAAUCCGCUGAUAGAUGGGCUUGCGUCUGAUUAGAUAGUUGGUGGGGUAACGGCCUACCAAGUCGACGAUCAGUAGCCGGACUGAGAGGUUGAACGGCCACACUGGAACUGAGACACGGUCCAGACACCUACGGGUGGCAGCAGUCGAGAAUCAUUCACAAUGGGGGAAACCCUGAUGGUGCGACGCCGCGUGGGGGAAUGAAGGUCUUCGGAUUGUAAACCCCUGUCAUGUGGGAGCAAAUUAAAAAGAUAGUACCACAAGAGGAAGAGACGGCUAACUCUGUGCCAGCAGCCGCGGUAAUACAGAGGUCUCAAGCGUUGUUCGGAAUCACUGGGCGUAAAGCGUGCGUAGGCUGUUUCGUAAGUCGUGUGUGAAAGGCGCGGGCUCAACCCGCGGACGGCACAUGAUACUGCGAGACUAGAGUAAUGGAGGGGGAACCGGAAUUCUCGGUGUAGCAGUGAAAUGCGUAGAUAUCGAGAGGAACACUCGUGGCGAAGGCGGGUUCCUGGACAUUAACUGACG